UGAAUUCAUUUAUAUUAUGCUUCAAUUCCU
rnacentral:piRNA from 1 species